AGUGCUGCAUGGCUGUCGUCAGCUCGUGUCGUGAGAUGUUCGGUUAAGUCCGCUAACGAGUGCAACCCUCGCUGUGUGUUAUAUGUGUCACACGGGACUGCCGGUCCUAAGCCGGAGGAAGGUGGGGAUGAUGUCAAGUCAGCAUGGCCUUUAUAUCCUGGGCUACACACACGCUACAAUGGCCAACACAAUAGGUUGCUAAGCCGCGAGGUGGCGCCAAUCCAUAAAGUUGGUCUCAGUUCAGAUUGUAGGCUGCAACCCGCCUGCAUGAAGAUGGAGUUGCUAGUAACCGCAGGUCAGCUAUACUGCGGUGAAUACGUUCCCGGGGCUU
rnacentral:rRNA from 1 species